rnacentral:lncRNA from 1 species
CCGAUUAAAUGACUGACCGACUCACUCAUUAAGGCAGUGGCUUACCGCCACCUAGUGGCAAAGUACCAUUCUAAUUUUUUUCAUAAUUUCAUAUUUUUUGUAUUCCAAGAUGCAUUUCAGUGGCUUGAGUAUUCCGUAUCCAGAAAUUCUGCAUUCUGCUUUUUUUGUCGUCUCUUUGGCAAGCAUCAUAUCCGAAACAGCAAAGACACAUUAACAAGUGCAAGUUUCUCCAACUGGAAAAGAGCUUUAGAAUCAUUCAUAGAGCAUGAACAAAGUAGCCUUCAUAAGGCUUCCAUGACAUGCUGGAAGAGCUACAAAACAGCUGAAACACAUGGAGAUAUGAAUGAUGCACAGACUUCAGUAGAGGGACGAGUGUAGCCAGUCAGGCUUGAUUGGAAAAGAAAAGAAAACUGAAAGACAGAGACAAAAAAAGUGAGAUAGAGACACAACAUCAGCAUAUGUGUCUGGAUACAAGGGAUAAACUUUAAAUAAAAUGUUUUAAAUUUGUUUUUUUUAUAUUUUAAAAAAGGUAAAUCUUUCUGAUUUAUUAAAAUAAAAAGUCACAUGGAUUUUUCUGGGCUAAGCCCCGGAUCUCCACUCACCCUAGAACCGCCCCUGCUUAGACACAUACGUUGACAUUGCAUGUGUUUGUGUUCCUUUUUCGAAAACGGCCUCUCACAUUGCGUGAACUGCUAUGGGGAUUAGUCUAUUUUAAAUCUGUAGGGUAGUUUAAUUGAUCCGAACUGAAUGAAUCUAAACGAGUCUUUUGAACAGAAUCUCAAAAUUUGAGUGAGAUUAAUAAAAUAAAUCCACACUAUUCGUGUUAGUGCUGUAUCUCGGGGUUUGCUGUAGUUUGGUACAAAAUCCACACUAUUCGUGUUAGUGCUGUAUCUCGGGGUUUGCUGUAGUUUGGUACAGACAUCCCAAGUCUCCCGGAAGUCCCGGGAGUCUCCCGCAUAUUGAUAGCGGCUCCCUGAUGCCCGCAAAUUAGUUAAAAUCUCCCGGAAUCUAGAGCGAGCGAGCAAGAGCGCGCAAAGAAGAGAACCGUGUAGCGCGCGCACGGCAGGGAGGGAGAGGGAGCGAGCGAGAGACAUGUGCUUGUGUGCGAGGUGCGAAGCGCAUGUAAGACAGAGAGCAUCCUGAUUGGCCUGUUUCGGCAAAUCAACCAAUCAAAUGUCAGUGUGGGCGGGCUUUUAUCUCUUCUCCCGAACCAAAUUAAUCAGUUAUGUCCUUUCUUUUACUGUCUAUGGUUAUGUCUAUCUAGAAACAGGAGCACCAUGGCAGAGGGAGAGUGCAACGGAAAAUAAAUAAAAGCAGUUUACAUAAAUGGUAUAAGCAGCAAACAUAUGUUGGUUAGACAUGUUUUGAAGCAUGGCCAACUGGUUUAAGCCUGUCCUUAGCUGGUCAUGUGCUGGUCCUAAGCAGGUCCUAAGCAAAUAGCUCCUGCUCAGGACCAACUUAAACCAGGUUGGCUUCGGGAUACCUCCCUGAAAUGACUUUUUGCAGGUUGGGAUGUCUGUUGGUAAUAGAGGUAAUGAACAGUAAUAUAUCACGCACUGACAUUAAGCCUCGCAUUUAGAGCUGAUUCACACGAGACUCGCAAUUCUUGACGCCCGUGAAUCGAAUCUUUUUGCAAUCGACUCACUGUUCUUAG